UACAGAGGGUGCAAGCGUUAAUCGGAAUUACUGGGCGUAAAGCGUGCGUAGUCGGUUGUUUAAGUCGGAUGUGAAAUCCCCGGGCUCAACCUGGGAAUUGCAUUCGAUACUGGGCAGCUAGAGUUCGGCAGAGGGAAGCGGAAUUUCCGGUGUAGCGGUGAAAUGCGUAGAUAUCGGAAGGAACAUCAGUGGCGAAAGCGGCUUCCUGGACCAGAACUGACGCUGAGGCACGAAAGCUAGGGGAGCAAACAGG
rnacentral:rRNA from 1 species